rnacentral:rRNA from 1 species
UACGAAGGUGGCAAGCGUUGUUCGGAUUUACUGGGCGUAAAGCGUGCGCAGGCGGUUUUGUAAGUCAGAUGUGAAAUCCCCGGGCUUAACCUGGGAACUGCGUUUGAAACUACAAGGCUAGAGUGUGGCAGAGGGGGUGGAAUUCGACGGUGUAGCAGUGAAAUGCGUAGAGAUGAUGGAGGAAGCACCGAUGGCGAAGGCAGCCC